CAAUCGAACGGUUGAUGGAAUACCAGGGUCUCCUUUGCUGCCGAAUAUUUGUUCCAGUAUGCUGCAAGCAGGCCCGAAAACGGAACAAACGUCGGUCGAGAAUGCGCUACACUACAAUUAAUCCCGUAACUAAGCUCUUGUGGAUAUGGAUAGCAUUGGGUAGAAAGACAAGAGUGGUCGAAGCCGAAUUAAAUAAUGAAUGAUUUUAUAUGAAUAAAAAACUUGAGAUUUUUUUAAAUCUUCAGGUGUUGCAUCGUCAAAAUUUUCGUUGAGGAAUUGCUGUGAUUAUCUUUUCAAUUCUUUUUUAAAGUUUCGGCUAUUAUAUUUUGAAAUUACAUAUUGUUAAUAUUUGUAGCUUCUGUACUCAAUGCUAUUGCACCGAAACUUGUGCAAAUGCAAUCUUCUUAUUUAUGAAAUUAUAAAAUCUUCAAGAUGCGCGAAUCUUCUAAUAGAUAUUAAAAAAUUUUAAUACAAGAUUAUAAAUGUAUAUGUACAUUGAUUUUAAUACAAAAAAAGAAUGGGAAAUUGAGAUAUGAAUUUCAAUAAAAUUUCGCUUAAAAAAUGCUAAAUCGCUUAAAAAAUUGGAAAAUGUUAUUUUCGCAGCGAGCUAUUCAUACAAGCUGAUGACUGCUUUACAAUCACAGACAAAAACAUUUAUAUUACAAGCACUAAUCAUAGCAGUGCAAAGAAAUUAAUUAGCGUAAUGCAUCGUAUAUAUUAUAUGAUUUAUUUAUUCAAAUAAUGUCAAUAUAGAAUGUAGUCAUCUAAUGAUAUCUUAUUUAAAAUACAUAUGUAGGUAGUAGUGAUCGUGGUAUAAAUAUUCGUUUUCUCUCGAAGAAAUAUCUAAAACUUCUUAAUCAGUUUUUUUUAUUAAUGUUUUAUUGAAUAACAAUUCUAAUUUUAAAAACAAUACUUUCAACUAUAUACGAACAUAAAUUUGAAAUUUACUGAGUUUCUGAAAUAUUUCUACAUAUUUAAAUUCAUAAACAAGAAUAAAUGGGCAACAGAAUUACACUAUAUAUUUUAAAUGUGCAUUAAAAUGUAUUCAACUUUAGUAUGGUUAUUAAAAAAUACUUUAUAUGUAACAAAUUAAUAAAAUGAUUACUCAAUAAAAUAAACUCGAUAUAAUCCACUUUGAAUCUGUCUUAAAUCCGUUUCGUUUUAUUUACAUAGUGUACACAUAUCUUGACAUAUAAAAUCUACGUUUAUUUCCCUACAUUAAUAAUUAAAUUAUACAAGAAUACAAAAAGAACGACACACGCGCGUGCGCGUGCGUGCUCGCGUAUAUCUAUAACUUUCUUAAAAAUUAACAAACUAAGAAAAAAAUAGAAAAAAUAAGAAAAAAAACUCCAAAACUUUCCAAAAUACAUUGUAAAUAGUUUAACUGAUAUUUAUGGAUUAUCUAAUUAUCUGAGUUAUUGCUAACUAUCAUAAUCAUCGACUUUUCAAAACAUUGCAUUUGAUUGAUAUUUGGGAUAAUUCAGGAGUAAACGCUCACUUAAUUAACUCAUUAGACAUUAACUCAUACAAGAAAUAAUCGAAAAGGAUUAUAAAAAUAUCGAAACGUAUAUAUGCAUCACGUGGUUGUAAUGAGUCUAAAAUAAAUCAUCCUGGUGUGUGUGUGUGUGUGUGUGUGUGUGUGUCUGUCUGUCUGUCUGUCAGUUAGUCAAAGAUAUCGUAUGAAAUACAAUGAAAUUCUGCAUCGCAUUUGUAUUGGUUACGUAGAUAUUUGGAUACGUACACAUGGACAUAUAUGUUUGAUAAUCCUCUGUUUUAUUAAAAUCAUAAAUUAACUUUAGGGAAGAUACAAUUUUAUUUUGACAAGAUUCGAAGUUAACACAACAAAGCUUAUAAUUACAAAUUUUAUACACUAAUUCACAUUUUGUCGUUCGAAUAUAUCUAUCUUAAAUUAUGUGUAUUAAAAAAUAUGGCUUUUCACGUAAAAGCAUGUUAGAAACAUUUUUUCCUCGGACAAGAAUUGUAUUUUUUAAUAUGCUUAAUGUAUUAUAAUGUAUAUGAAAUAUUCAAAUAUUUGGCUAAUUAAUGUUGUGUAAAAUAAUUAUACAUGAUAUAUAACGUUAAAUGUGACAAUAGCUUAUUGACGCUCGAGAAAACGACGAAAAAACUAUAAAACUAAACUAAACUAAUUAAAACUAACGAAGAGCAAAUAUUAAAUUUUGUUUCAAGCAAAACAGCUGACGAAAUGUACGAAAUGAUGAAAAGUAUAUGUAUGAUAGUGAAUGCUUGGAUGUUUUAACGUUUUUAGUUUUUUGGUUGCUUGUAUUUUGAAUAAAAAAUUAGAAUUAUUUAAAAGCAAAAAAUUAUUAAGUAUUAAAUAUUAAGAACAUAAAAUAAUUGACAUCUUGUAUUUUUCCUUCGAUGUUAGCCGCAUCAGGUUCUGGACCGUGAAUAUAUGUCUCCUCUUUCUUAAACGAAUAUCUUCGAUUUUAUUUCUUAACGAUUUUG